rnacentral:rRNA from 1 species
UACGAAGGGUGCAAGCGUUACUCGGAAUUACUGGGCGUAAAGCGUGCGUAGGUGGUGAGUUAAGUCUGUCGUGAAAGCCCCGGGCUCAACCUGGGAAUGGCGAUGGAUACUGGCUCGCUAGAGUGCGGUAGAGGAGAGUGGAAUUCCUGGUGUAGCAGUGAAAUGCGUAGAUAUCAGGAGGAACACCGAUGGCGAAGGCAGGUCUCUGGGCUAACACUGACGCUCAUGCACGAAAGCGUGGGGAGCAAACAGG